CGGUACGCGAGCUGGGUUCAGAACGUCGUGAGACAGUUCGGUCCCUAUCCGUCGCGGGCGCAGGAAAUUUGAGAGGAGCUGUCCUUAGUACGAGAGGACCGGGAUGGACGCACCGCUGGUGUACCAGUUGUUCUGCCAAGGGCAUCGCUGGGUAGCUAUGUGCGGACGGGAUAAGUGCUGAAAGCAUCUAAGCAUGAAGCCCCCCUCAAGAUGAGAUUUCCCAUUCCGCAAGGAAGUAAGAUCCCUGAAAGAUGAUCAGGUUGAUAGGUCUGAGGUGGAAGCGUGGUGACACGUGGAGCUGACAGAUACUAAUAGAUCGAGGACUUAACCUAU
rnacentral:rRNA from 2 species